UACAUGCAAGUCGAGCGGACCGACGGGAGCUUGCUCCCUUAGGUCAGCGGCGGACGGGUGAGUAACACGUGGGUAACCUGCCUGUAAGACUGGGAUAACUCCGGGAAACCGGGGCUAAUACCGGAUGCUUGAUUGAACCGCAUGGUUCCAAUCAUAAAAGGUGGCUUUCAGCUACCACUUACUGAUGGACCCGCGGCGCAUUAGCUAGUUGGUGAGGUAACGGCUCACCAAGGCGACGAUGCGUAGCCGACCUGAGAGGGUGAUCGGCCACACUGGGACUGAGACACGGCCCAGACUCCUACGGGAGGCAGCAGUAGGGAAUCUUCCGCAAUGGACGAAAGUCUGACGGAGCAACGCCGCGUGAGUGAUGAAGGUUUUCGGAUCGUAAAACUCUGUUGUUAGGGAAGAACAAGUACCGUUCGAAUAGGGCGGCACCUUGACGGUACCUAACCAGAAAGCCACGGCUAACUACGUGCCAGCAGCCGCGGUAAUACGUAGGUGGCAAGCGUUGUCCGGAAUUAUUGGGCGUAAAGCGCGCGCAGGCGGUUUCUUAAGUCUGAUGUGAAAGCCCCCGGCUCAACCGGGGAGGGUCAUUGGAAACUGGGGAACUUGAGUGCAGAAGAGGAGAGUGGAAUUCCACGUGUAGCGGUGAAAUGCGUAGAGAUGUGGAGGAACACCAGUGGCGAAGGCGACUCUCUGGUCUGUAACUGACGCUGAGGCGCGAAAGCGUGGGGAGCGAACAGG
rnacentral:rRNA from 1 species